AGCCUGUCUUCUCCACACAGGUGAUUGUGGCCACCAUUAGCUUCCUGGAGACCAUGCUCCUCAUUUACCUCAGCUACAAAGGCAACAUCUGGGAGCAGAUCUUCCGUGUGUCCUUCAUCCUGGAGAUGAUCAACACGCUGCCCUUCAUCAUCACGGUCUUCUGGCCGCCACUGCGGAACAUGUUCAUCCCCGUGUUUCUCAACUGCUGGCUGGCCAAGCAUGCGCUGGAGAACAUGAUC